rnacentral:tRNA from 2 species
GCCUGGCUGGCUCAGCUGGUGGAGCAUGAGACUCUUGAUCUCAGGGUUGUGAGUUUGAGCCCCACGUUGGGUG